CUUGCGCAUCCUCUUCCUCCUGCUCACCAGGCCAGUGGCCGCUUCCCACUCACGUCUGUCCUGGUUUAGACCCGCCUUCUCCAGGAGCCUUCCUGAGUGCCUCAGUGCACAGCAGCUGCCCCCUAACAUGCUGUCCUCGGUGUUUGGAGGCCCCAGCAAGCAGCUUACGCUCUCUGGACGUCAGCUUCCCAACUGCACCCCAAGGAGCUGGGACCCCUGCUUUUUGAUUCCAUGUUUCUGUGGUGGUGAGGACGGAGACAGACAUCCGCAGACAGAUACGCAGCACGUCUCGUCCAACACAGAGAAACUGAGGCUCAGAGGGACCACGUUGGCUUGAGUGACUGGAAACCCGGGCUCUCCCUCUGACCAAGUCUACAUGCGCGUCCUCAUCUGGGAUAUGAGACGACCAGACUACAUGAACUCCGGGUCCAUUUCAGGCCUUGAAGGCCGAGGUGAAUAAUAUGUGACAACAACAGCGUGUGUUUGCUGGCCCCCAGAGUGUUGGGUCCUCUGCGUUGGACAUUUUCCAUGGGUGAUCCUGUUUAAGACUCAAUAACUCUUUUAUUUUUGCAUAAAAGAGCUGGGGUAUAGGCCGGGGGUGCAGGGGGUGGUGAGAAGAGUCACCAAAGGGGCCUCCCUCGUGGUGCAAGGGGUUAAGAUGCAACCAAUGAAGCUGUCCACAGCCACUGCAGCAUAAGUUCCAUCCCUGGCCAGGGAGCUACUCACAGGCGCAGCAGACCUCUCCUGACUCG